UACGGAGGGUGCAAGCGUUAUUCGGAAUCACUGGGCGUAAAGGGCGCGUAGGCGGGCGCAUAAGUCGAUUGUGAAAGCCCCGGGCUCAACCUGGGAAUGGCAGUCGAUACUGUGUGUCUUGAGUGCUUGAGAGGGUGGUGGAAUUCCUGGUGUAGAGGUGAAAUUCGUAGAUAUCAGGAGGAACACCGGAGGCGAAGGCGGCCACCUGGCAAGACACUGACGCUGAGGCGCGAAAGCGCGGGGAUCAAACAGG
rnacentral:rRNA from 1 species